GCCUGCGUAGCUCAACGGACAGAGCACCGCCCCACUGGGCCCACGAGGGCCUACGGCCUGCGGAGGCUCCCGGGUUCGAGUCCCGGGCCAGGCA
rnacentral:tRNA from 1 species